ACACCUCAACUCUCAUGGUUUGCCAUGAUGAGCUUGGACUUUGGGGGUUUUGCUGGCCUACGGUCGGCUCCUCUAAAAUAAAUCAGCUUGCCAGUGUUUGGUGGGUAUCAUGGGUGUGAUAACUAUCUACGCUUGUGGUUUUUCCACCAGGUAACCUUCAGCAGUGGAGGUUCGCUGGAGCUCAUAGAUGUCUCUCCUCAGCGAGGACAGCCCUUUGAAU
rnacentral:misc_RNA from 1 species